CUUGCUAUAUUAUCUCAAGAGAUGAGUGCUCUAAAAAAAGAGAGAUACGAGGAAAUAAAAAGGGGCAAGUGCUCGGAACCUCAAAAGAAAAGAAAAAGUGAGACGAGAGGUAAAAAUGGACAAGUGUCCGACAGUAGAAUUAGGGGUACAAGAUACCCACCUGAGAGAAAAGAAAAAAGAAGAGCAUCUCAUUCUCCUCAUAAAGUUUCAAAAAGCAAGAAAGGUAUGUAUCCCCUCAAAGAGCAAAAGUAGAAUUAGACUUCCACCAUUGUUAUCACCAUCAUCACCAUACACCAUUCAUUCGCCACACAUGCACAUCUUGAUUUGACUUAUUGAUUUGUCUCUUUGGAUCCAUGGUUUGACUAUGCAAUACAUGUCUUGUAAGUAUGUAUACUUUAUCUCCCACCUAUGAGCUCCAGAUAUUAAAGCCUUAUUAGAGUAGGGUGAGAGAGAAGACAAUGUCACUAUGCUUUAUACCACAAAUACCACAUAUUUUGAG
rnacentral:lncRNA from 1 species